GAAGUGUGUGAAGGGAUGCUGCUGGGAUUGGAAGGUGAUGACUCAAAGCAGUACCCCAAAGAUGUGAGCCUGGACCUUAACCUCAUGAACAUCCUCUGCAGGCCUAAAGCACCGAUGUGAUGUGGCAAUGACUCAAGACCAAGUCAUCACUUUGCAGGAAUUACCUAUGAAGGAAAGUGGAAACUCCGUGGUGUCUCUCUGGCAUCUUUCCUUCCAGAUGGUGCCUCCGUAGCUCUUCCGAAGAGGCUUGUGAAGAGCCAAGCUUUACUUAAAAUCAUCGCAGAGCUGGAUCAUUCCACUCUCUAUGUUGGCAGAGCUCAGGCAGCGCAGGGGCAAACAGAAAUCUAAGAGGUGAGGACUCAAAAAAGCAGCUAAAGGUAGGAAAAAUGUAUAUAUCUGAGAGCUAGAGGGGAACAUGGCAUAUACAAAUGAAAAUAAGUUUAAGCUAAUCUUCAAAACUUUGUGACCAAGACAGUAUAGAGGAGAAGCAGGAAGCCCCUAACACUAUAAAGACUAAUGUGAUGUAUUGAUCCAAACUAGUAUUGGAAGAGCCAUGCCACAAGAGCUUAAAAUUUCUCAGAGACUACGUUUAAUGUUUUGCUCACCA